AUUGAACGCUGGCGGCAUGCCUUACACAUGCAAGUCGAACGGCAGCACGGGAGCAAUCCUGGUGGCGAGUGGCGAACGGGUGAGUAAUAUAUCGGAACGUGCCCAGUCGUGGGGAUAACGUAGCGAAAGCUACGCUAAUACCGCAUACGAUCUAUGGAUGAAAGCGGGGGAUCGCAAGACCUCGCGCGAUUGGAGCGGCCGAUAUCAGAUUAGGUAGUUGGUGAGGUAAAGGCUCACCAAGCCGACGAUCUGUAGCUGGUCUGAGAGGACGACCAGCCACACUGGGACUGAGACACGGCCCAGACUCCUACGGGAGGCAGCAGUGGGGAAUUUUGGACAAUGGGCGCAAGCCUGAUCCAGCAAUGCCGCGUGCAGGAUGAAGGCCUUCGGGUUGUAAACUGCUUUUGUUACGGAACGAAACGGUGAGCUCUAAUACAGUUUGCUAAUGACGGUACCGUAAGAAUAAG
rnacentral:rRNA from 1 species